CAAUGGCCUAGUGGUUAAAGCGUCAGCCUCGGAUGCUGGAUGUUGCAGGUUCGAACCCCGGGCUAGUCCUA